ensembl:misc_RNA 7SK 7SK RNA
GGAUGUGAGGGCAAUCUGGCUACAACAUAUAUCAACAAGAGUUGAUACAACAUUGAUCACCAGAGUUUAUUCAGCUUAUCUGGCUGGCUAGGCAGGUGUCUCCUUCUUCCCUCACUACUCCAUGUAUGCAUUUUGUCAAGCAAAGACAACCAAACAGAGACAGACCAGAGGGUUUAUGAGUAGCUGUGCUCCCAUGCUGGAAUCUCCAAACAAUCUCUCAAAGUUUAGACAGACAGAAUAAGAGCUCACUAUGAUUAUUGUAUUGCCCACAAAAAUAAGAAGUUAUCAUUUUGACAUG